CGUAGGUAACCUGCCUAUUAGAGGGGGAUAACUAUUGGAAACGAUAGCUAAUACCGCAUAACAGUAUGUAACACAUGUUAGAUGCUUGAAAGAUGCAAUUGCAUCGCUAGUAGAUGGACCUGCGUUGUAUUAGCUAGUAGGUAGGGUAAUGGCCUACCUAGGCAACGAUACAUAGCCGACCUGAGAGGGUGAUCGGCCACACUGGGACUGAGACACGGCCCAG
rnacentral:rRNA from 1 species